GCUGGCCAAAUCCUAAACCAACGACCUUUGGGACUGACUUUGUGAACCGGGAAGCGACGAGCCAGUUCACAGACUGCAAGGCUUCGCCCUGAGGCGGGUGGAAGUCUCUCCGGACCCGGGGCCGUAGGAGACUCGGGUUUCGGCUACUCCUGCCUGCAGCCCUCUGUGGGGAGCAGUCCGUGUACUUCAGGCUACGCCCCGCGCCUCCUCAUUGGCUCCUCCAGGCACGUGGUCGGGUGGUCCCGCCUCCGGGUGGCCUGAGAGGCGGCACGAGGGGCCGCAUGGACUGCUUGGCGCCGGGCCGAUGGAGGCGACGGAGGAUGGAGGAGCUGCCAGCGGCGGGGGACGCGAAACGGGCGUGCAGGAGGUCAGAAGCUGGUGGGCAUGAGUGCACUGGCCACAUGCUAAGCACCUGUGCCCUGGUGUCCUGGAGUACAGAGGACCAGGAGCCACGGUCACGAGGCCCACCUGCACCACGACCAGACUGUAGCCAGGAGAGUCUGAGCUCAGUGACGCUGCACAACGGUGGAAGGAGUUCGGCCCAGCCUUGCCUGAGAUGUCUUGCGGGGGAAUCUAACUGUUGUCCUGGACUAUGAAAGACCUUGAGGACCACAGGACCUUAUUUCUAAAUGGAUACUUCUCCUGCUCAUCAUUCUUCCAGGAUUGUGGGACCAUGACCUGUGUUUUCUUCCGUAAUAGUGGCCAUUUUAACCAUACCGGAAAUCAUUAGAAGAUGCAAAUGGGAAGAUGGAAGAUUCCAGUUCUGAAUCCUUGUGUGAUUGAUGGCCAGUGCAAAUCCCUUACAGCUGGCCUGGGUGCCCAUGUGUUCAGAUGGCAGCCAGGGCUCCCUGCAGGGGCUGUUUGCCUCUCAGGUAAUCCCACUCUCCUCUGCAGAAGGCCAGGAACAUCCUAAGUAUGUUGGCUCAUUGCAGCCUAUUGUCUAAUGUCCUCUGCUGGACAGGAAAUUUUCUAGAAGUCAACAAAUUUUGUGUCAGACUUCCUAGAUGUUCCAGAGCCUCAUAACUCAUGUAAUCAAAAGGCUCAGCCAGAGAUCUCACUGCCUGUAGACUUUGGGGUUGUUUCUGGACAUAACCAGGGCUGCUCACACACUCUUUUUAAUUAAAAGACUUAUUUCUAUAUUUAAAAUGCUCUAUAA